rnacentral:lncRNA from 1 species
CCCAGACAGCUGCAUAAAUGUGGGGCUACAAAAAGCCCAAAGACGAACAUGAACUCAACAACGCCAUCCCAGAAGCCCCCAUGCAGAUGAUGGGGCCAACAGAGCAAUAUGCUAUCAGUGCUGACCUUGCUAAGGCCUGACCCCUCACUCCUGGAAAAUCUUAGACCCUUUCUUAGGAUACUCUUUCCUGAUUGGAACGGGGAGCAGCGUAGAAUACCUGCAUCAAGAUGCUUGGAUACAGAUGCAAAGCAAAGGGAAAAAUUGACAGAUAAGAGCCUCAUGAUAGCAGAGAAGUCUUGAUUCAUGAUCUUGGGGAAAAGCUGUCCAAGUCAAGGAUGCUGUCUUCUUCUGGGGAGAAACUUCCCUGGACGUAUAACAUUGGAAAGAAGCAAUUUACUCAUCUAGACUUGGAGAGUCUGGCUCAACAUCAAAUUAAAAUCAUGCUGGUGUUCACGUGAGGGUGCUUUUGUGCAAAGCUGGAGAAGCACGGGAUGUGAAGGGCCUUGCUGGAGGCAGAGCUCUGCAGAUGAACCAGAAGACCGCACCCGAACCCCCGUUCAGCUGCGAGGCAUAAACGCCUUCCCCUGGUUAGGAGCUGAUGCCUCACUGUGAGCUUGGAUGGCAAGUUCAUAGAGGCCAUCCACACGAAUGGGUUUAAUGGGAUUUCUUUAUCAAUUGUUUAAAGAGAGUCUUUAGCGUCCCUCAAUACCCUUUCCAGGAGGAUACACAGAAUAAAUUCCUGCUUGACUUUUAGAUCCCAGAUAAAACUACUCCCGCAGAAGAAUUAGAAUUUCUUUGUCAUAUUGGACAAUAAAAAUUAUGUAACUUACU